rnacentral:tRNA from 1 species
UCCUGGCUGGCUCAGUUAGUAGAGCAUGUGACUCUUAAUCUCAUGGUCGUGAGUUCAAGCCCUGCGUUGGGCA